CUUUAAGGUGGUUCUUUUCGAAGAAAUACUGCAUAUAUCUUUUGUUUAAGGUUGCAUCGCCGGUCAAAUUUGUGCACGAUCGCCUGUCCGUCAAAGAGGUGGUGGAAAGGUUGGUCCCCGAUCUCAAAGAGCCCGGGUCCCACCCUGAGGAGACUGCCGCCAAGCCAUGCUGGUCCGGGUGCCGAUGGCAGGGUGCAGGCGGGGCAUGUCCACGUUCUGGCUGAUGCGAGACAUCAUCCUCAUUAGGAGCUGCAACUUCCUACGAGAUGCCGGGGGCAGGAGGAGGGUGCACAGCUGUAGGGCCUCGAUGGCCACGCGCUCGUUUUGAGGCUGGAGUAGGCCUGCAUGCACACAGACAGGUACAGCCAGAGAAAUCAGUAUCAUAUAAUGGUGUUGUAAGCUUACCGUAAUAUCCAGAAGCUGCAAUACAUACAGAAUAGUGCUGCUAGGAUCCUGAUGAGAGUGCGGAAAUAUGA